rnacentral:rRNA from 1 species
GAUGAACGCUGGCGGCGUGCCUAAUACAUGCAAGUCGAGCGAACAGAUGAGGAGCUUGCUCCUCUGACGUUAGCGGCGGACGGGUGAGUAACACGUGGAUAACCUACCUAUAAGACUGGGAUAACUUCGGGAAACCGGAGCUAAUACCGGAUAAUAUAUUGAACCGCAUGGUUCAAUAGUGAAAGACGGUUUUGCUGUCACUUAUAGAUGGAUCCGCGCCGCAUUAGCUAGUUGGUAAGGUAACGGCUUACCAAGGCAACGAUGCGUAGCCGACCUGAGAGGGGGAUCGGCCACACUGGAACUGAGCCACGGUCCAGACUCCUACGGGAGGCAGCAGUAGGGAAUCUUCCGCAAUGGGCGAAAGCCUGACGGAGCAACGCCGCGUGAGUGAUGAAGGUCUUCGGAUCGUAAAACUCUGUUAUUAGGGAAGAACAAAUGUGUAAGUAACUAUGCACGUCUUGACGGUACCUAAUCAGAAAGCAACGGCUAACUACGUG